rnacentral:rRNA from 1 species
AGAAUCAACGCUGGCGGCGUGCCUAACACAUGCAAGUCGCACGAGAAAGGGGAGCAAUCCCUGAGUACAGUGGCGCACGGGUGAGUAACACGUGAAUAAUCUACCUCCGAGUGGGGAAUAACUGAGAGAAAUCUUAGCUAAUACCGCAUAAUACCCACGGGUCAAAGCAGCAAUGCGCUUGGAGAGGAGUUCGCGGCAGAUUAGUUAGUUGGCGGGGUAAUGGCCCACCAAGACGAUGAUCUGUAUCCGGCCUGAGAGGGCGCACGGACACACUGGAACUGAAACACGGUCCAGACUCCUACGGGAGGCAGCAGUGGGGAAUUUUGCGCAAUGGGGGAAACCCUGACGCAGCAACGCCGCGUGGAGGAUGAAGCCCCUUGGGGUGUAAACUCCUUCGAUCGGGAAGAUAAUGACGGUACCGAUAUAAGAAGCCCCGGCUAACUUCGCGCCAGCAGCCGC